AGUUUGAUCCUGGCUCAGGAUGAACGCUGGCGGCGUGCCUAAUACAUGCAAGUCGAACGAAUCUCUUUUAGAGAUGAGUGGCGAACGGGUGAGUAAUACAUAGGUAACCUGCCCCUGUGCGGGGGAUAACAGGAGGAAACUCCUGCUAAUACCGCAUAGCCAUGAGCACCGCAUGGAGCUCAUGCCAAAUAUCCUUUAUGGGAUAGCGCAGGGAUGGACCUAUGGCGCAUUAGCUGGUUGGCGGGGCAACGGCCCACCAAGGCAACGAUGCGUAGCCGGCCUGAGAGGGCGGACGGCCACAUUGGGACUGAGACACGGCCCAGACUCCUACGGGAGGCAGCAGUAGGGAAUUUUCGGCAAUGGGGGAAACCCUGACCGAGCAACGCCGCGUGAGCGAAGAAGGCCUUCGGGUCGUAAAGCUCUGUUGUAAAGGAAGAACGGCGCAUACAGGAAAUGGUAUGCGAGUGACGGUACUUUACCAGAAAGCCACGGCUAACUACGUGCCAGCAGCCGCGGUAAUACGUAGGUGGCGAGCGUUAUCCGGAAUCAUUGGGCGUAAAGAGGGAGCAGGCGGCCGCAAGGGUCUGUGGUGAAAGACCGAAGCUAAACUUCGGUAAGCCAUGGAAACCGGGCGGCUAGAGUGCGGAAGAGGAUCGUGGAAUUCCAUGUGUAGCGGUGAAAUGCGUAGAUAUAUGGAGGAACACCAGUGGCGAAGGCGACGGUCUGGGCCGCAACUGACGCUCAUUCCCGAAAGCGUGGGGAGCAAAUAGGAUUAGAUACCCUAGUAGUCCACGCCGUAAACGAUGGUCACUAAGUGUCGGGGGUCAAACCCCGGUGCUGCAGUCAACGCAAUAAGUGACCCGCCUGAGUAGUACGUUCGCAAGAAUGAAACUCAAAGGAAUUGACGGAAG
rnacentral:rRNA from 1 species